UGGGGAAUUUUGGACAAUGGGCGCAAGCCUGAUCCAGCCAUGCCGCGUGAGUGAAGAAGGCCUUCGGGUUGUAAAGCUCUUUCAGUUGGGAAGAAACGAUUGCAACUAAUAAUUGUAAUUAAUGACGGUACCGACAGAAGAAGCACCGGCUAACUACGUGCCAGCAGCCGCGGUAAUACGUAGGGUGCGAGCGUUAAUCGGAAUUACUGGGCGUAAAGGGUGCGCAGGCGGUUUUGUAAGUCAGAUGUGAAAUCCCCGGGCUUAACCUGGGAAUGGCGUUUGAAACUGCAAGGCUAGAGUGUAGCAGAGGGGGAUGGAAUUCCGGCGUGUAGCAGUGAAAUGCGUAGAUAUGCGGAGGAACACCGAUGGCGAAGGCAGCUCCCGUGGGCUAACACGUGACGC
rnacentral:rRNA from 1 species